GAUGAACGCUGGCGGCGUGCCUAAUACAUGCAAGUCGAGCGAACGGACGAGAAGCUUGCUUCUCUGAUGUUAGCGGCGGACGGGUGAGUAACACGUGGAUAACCUACCUAUAAGACUGGGAUAACUUCGGGAAACCGGAGCUAAUACCGGAUAAUAUUUUGAACCGCAUGGUUCAAAAGUGAAAGACGGUCUUGCUGUCACUUAUAGAUGGAUCCGCGCUGCAUUAGCUAGUUGGUAAGGUAACGGCUUACCAAGGCAACGAUGCAUAGCCGACCUGAGAGGGUGGUCGGACACACUGGAACUGAGACACGGUCCAGACUCCUACGGGAGGCAGCAGUAGGGAAUCUUCCGCAAUGGGCGAGAGCCUGACGGAGCAACGCCGCGUGAGUGAUGAAGGUCUUCGGAUCGUAAAGCUCUGUUAUUAGGGAAGAACAUAUGUGUAAGUAACUGUGCACAUCUUGACGGUACCUAAUCAGAAAGCCACGGCUAACUACGUG
rnacentral:rRNA from 1 species